rfam:Schistosoma mansoni strain Puerto Rico chromosome W, complete genome
AUCCAUCUGAUGAGUCCCAAAUAGAAUAAAGCGUGUGUCCUGGAU